rnacentral:misc_RNA from 1 species
GUGAAUCAUCGAAUCUUUGAACGCAAAUUGCACUCUCUUCGGAGAGUAUGCCUGUUUGAGGGUCAGCCUAAAAAAAAAAUCGACAUAGUCGCUGUUUCGUGGUGAGAUUCGUUGGAAAUUGGGUCAUUUUAAACCUUUGGGUUUUAAGUGGGUUAAAAUUUUUUUUUCGAUUUGAGGAAAGGUGUUA